rnacentral:tRNA from 1 species
CGCCCUGGAACUGAGCCAAGAAAGUGAAUGGCAUUCACGAGGUCAUGGGUUCGAUCCCCAUCAGCUCCACCA